CUUGAGGCUUUGCUACUGUAAGAUUAAUUACUUGCAUUUUCGUUAGUCACUAGUUCUUUAAUUGAGGCUUUGCUACUGUAAGAUUAAUAUUUGGAGUGAUUGUUGAUGUUAUAUACUUGAGGCUUGACGAGUCACUGGUUCCUGUGUUUGGAGUGAUUGUUAAUGUUAUUUACUUGCAUUUUCGUUAGUCACUGGUUCUUUAAUUGACUUUGGCUUGCUUUGGUUGGCUUUGUCACUGAAUAAUUACUUGUGUUUCAUUCUAACAUAUUCAUUAUUUUGUUUCUGUGUUUUGAGGUUUGGUCGUGACAAAGGGAAACUGACCCGGAGGAUCACAAAGACUUUUACAAAAAAGUUUGAUGAAGCUUAUUACAGUUGGAGUGUUGUGCCUCAGAACAAAAGAGAGACGAUAUUUGUAGAAUUUGCAAAAACUCACACUUGAGAUCAAAUACACACUGGUAUUGUUCAGGAGAAAUUUGAGGCGGUAUGUCAGCGACGUAUGAAGGACAUGGUUAGCGUUCGUAGGAGGUCUCGAGUGCGACCAUCCUGGAUCCACGGUGAACUGUGGGAACAAAUGACAGCGUAUUGGGACACUCCCGAAGCGGAAAAAAAGAGUCAGACAGCAUCAGACUCUCGGUUGUCUGACCGGAACGGACUUGGUCCAGACAAGCACAACUCCGGCCAGAAGUCUUUCGAACAAAUCAAACAUGAAAUGGUUGAGAAAUUGGGCAGACCAGUUACUCUUGGUGAAGUUUUCAUGGAGACACAUACAAGAAAUGAUGGGACCUUUGUCGAUUUGAAAGCAGAGAAGGUUGCAGAGAUGUAUAAGAAGAACAAAGAAGCCAAGUUGACUGCCCUUGAGGCUGAAAACUCACAGACUUCAGACAGUGCUUCCAAUGAUCCACAGCUCUCCAGAGGAGGAUAACGAGAUAUUCCUUUUGUCAACUUUCACAAAUGAAAGAGGACAGCACUAUGGCAUUGGAAGCCUCCAGCAAACUCUCGUCAAUGGGAAACGGACGUUCAGUGAAUUCUCUUCUUCUGCAUUCCUCGACAUGAAGAAGCUUCUUGAAGAUGCUCACCGCAAAAUAGAAGAGCAGGCUGCUUCCAAUGCAGCACAUGCUGCUAUUAUUGAAGAGCAAGGUGCUUGUAUUGCAGCAGAUCAAGGAGUUCUCUAUAGUGGGGAAGUUUCUAGCUGCAACUAAUCCAUUAUAUAAUGAGUUUGUAGCUGCUAAUUCCAGCACCUGAUCAUGCUUUCCUGUUUAUUUACCUAGAAACUUAUGACUUUUGUAAGUUCUUUUGUUUAGUUGCUUGUUUCAAACUUUUGGGGCUUUAACAUUUUCAGUUUUAAAAUUAACUACUGCCUU